GACAGAGGCCUCAAGCGUUAGGCGGAAUCACUGGGCUUAAAGCGUGUGUAGGCGGAUCGUUAAGUCGGGGGUGAAAUCCUGGAGCUCAACUCCAGAACUGCCUUCGAUACUGGCGAUCUUGAGUCCGGAAGAGGUGAGUGGAACUCCUAGUGUAGAGGUGGAAUUCGUAGAUAUUAGGAAGAACACCAGUGGCGAAGGCGGCUCACUGGUCCGGUACUGACGCUGAGGUGCGAAAGCGUGGGGAGCAAACAGG
rnacentral:rRNA from 1 species